GAUAAACGCUGGCGGUGUGCUUUAUGCAUGCAAGUCGAACGGGUUCCGCAAGGAACCAGUGGCAGACGGGUGAGUAACGCGUAAGUGACCUGCCCUUAAGUGGGGAACAACUCUGAGAAAUCGGAGCUAAUACCGCAUGAAAUCCUUUUUGUAAAGAUGAAGGAUUAAAGCCGCAAGGCGCUUUUGGAGGGACUUGCGCCCGAUUAGCUAGUUGGUGAGGUAACGGCCCACCAAGGCGACGAUCGGUAGCUGGUUUGAGAGGACGACCAGCCAAACGGGGGCUGAGACACGGCCCCGACUCCUACGGGAGGCAGCAGCAAGGAAUAUUGGGCAAUGGGCGAAAGCCUGACCCAGCGACACCGCGUGGGGGAAGAAGGCCUUCGGGUUGUAAACCCCUUUUCCCGGGGAAGAAUAAUGACGGUACCCGGGGAAUAAGCCUCGGCUAACUACGUGCCAGCCGCCGCAGUAAUAC
rnacentral:rRNA from 1 species